CGGGCCUUGUACACACCGCCCGUCACGCCAUGGGAGUUGAUCUUACCCAAAGCCGGUGAGCUAACCUUCGGGAGGCAGCCGACCACGGUGGGGUUAAUGACUGGGGCG
rnacentral:rRNA from 1 species